rnacentral:rRNA from 1 species
AGAGUUUGAUCCUGGCUCAGGAUGAACGCUGGCGGUAUGCGUAACACAUGCAAGUCGAACGAAGUUUUUCGGAACUUAGUGGCGGACGGGUGAGUAACGCGUGAGAAUCUGCCUUAAGGAUUGGGACAACAGUGGGAAACCGCUGCUAAUACCAAAUAUGCCUUUUAGUGAAACGGGUUUUACCCGCCUUAAGAUGAGCUCGCGUCUGAUUAGCUAGUAGGUGUGGUAAGAGCGCACCUAGGCAACGAUCAGUAGCUGGUCUGAGAGGACGACCAGCCACACUGGGACUGAGACACGGCCCAGACUCCUACGGGAGGCAGCAGUGAGGAAUUUUCCGCAAUGGGCGAAAGCCUGACGGAGCAAUACCGCGUGAGGGAGGAAGGUUCUUGGAUUGUAAACCUCUUUUCUCAGAGAAGAAUAAUGACGGUAUCUGAGGAAUAAGCAUCGGCUAACUCCGUGCCAGCAGCCGCGGUAAUACGGAGGAUGCAAGCGUUAUCCGGAAUGAUUGGGCGUAAAGGGUCUGUAGGUGGUUGUUCAAGUCUGCUGUUAAAGCGUCUGGCUUAACCAGAUAAAGGCGGUGGAAACUGAACGACUAGAGUGCGGUAGGGGUAGAGGGAAUUCCCAGUGUAGCGGUGAAAUGCGUAGAUCUUGGGAAGAACACCUGUGGCGAAAGCGCUCUACUGGACCGCGACUGACACUGAUGGACGAAAGCUAGGGGAGCGAAUGGGAUUAGAUACCCCCGUAGUCC